GCCACUAAGACAGGGAUAGCUCUGUUGGUAGAGCAUGAGACUCUUAAUCUCAAGGUAAUGGGUUUGAGCCCCAUGUUUGGCA